GGCUCGAUAGCUCAGUUGGUAGAGCAAGGGACUGAAAAUCCCUGUGUCCCUGGUUCGAUUCCAGGUCGAGCCACCA
rnacentral:tRNA from 1 species